GAUGGAUGUGGCCACGGUAUGGUA
rnacentral:miRNA from 1 species